rnacentral:rRNA from 1 species
CCUACGGGUGGCAGCAGUGGGGAAUAUUGGACAAUGGGCGAAAGCCUGAUCCAGCCAUGCCGCGUGUGUGAAGAAGGCCUUCGGGUUGUAAAGCACUUUCAGUGGGGAAGAAAGCCUUGGGGCUAAUACCCUCGAGGAAGGACAUCACCCACAGAAGAAGCACCGGCUAACUCCGUGCCAGCAGCCGCGGUAAUACGGAGGGUGCGAGCGUUAAUCGGAAUUACUGGGCGUAAAGCGCGCGUAGGCGGUCUGAUAAGCCGGUUGUGAAAGCCCCGGGCUCAACCUGGGAACGGCAUCCGGAACUGUCAGGCUAGAGGGCAGGAGAGGAAGGUAGAAUUCCCGGUGUAGCGGUGAAAUGCGGAGAGAUCGGGAGGAAUACCAGUGGCGAAGGCGGCCUUCUGGACUGACACUGACGCUGAGGUGCGAAAGCGUGGGUAGCAAACAGGAUUAGAUACCCUUGUAGUC